rnacentral:rRNA from 1 species
UACGGAGGGGGCUAGCGUUGUUCGGAAUUACUGGGCGUAAAGCGCACGUAGGCGGCUUUGUAAGUCAGAGGUGAAAUCCCGGGGCUCAACUCCGGAACUGCCUUUGAGACUGCAUCGCUUGAAUCCAGGAGAGGUGAGUGGAAUUCCGAGUGUAGAGGUGAAAUUCGUAGAUAUUCGGAAGAACACCAGUGGCGAAGGCGGCUCACUGGACUGGUAUUGACGCUGAGACGCGAAAGCGUGGGGAGCAAACAGG